UACGUAGGGUCCGAGCGUUGUCCGGAAUUAUUGGGCGUAAAGGGCUCGUAGGCGGUUUGUUACGUCGGGAGUGAAAACUCAGGGCUCAACCCUGAGCGUGCUUCCGAUACGGGCAGACUAGAGGUAUUCAGGGGAGAACGGAAUUCCUGGUGUAGCGGUGGAAUGCGCAGAUAUCUGGAGGAACACCGGUGGCGAAGGCGGCAUCCUGGACCGAGAUUGACGCUGAGGAGCGAAAGCUAGGGGAGCAAACGGG
rnacentral:rRNA from 1 species